rnacentral:rRNA from 1 species
AUGACAAUAAACAAAAGGCAGGAGCACUCUCCAAACAAGGUUGGACUAUAUCUACAUGAACAAGUCUUUACACAUGGACAUCUAUACGUACCAUUCUCAAGAGUCGGAAAAGGGGAUGGACUGCAAGUAAUGGUAAAUGAUAAAGAUAACAAUAAGGAUGUUGGGGUCAAGAACAUAAUCUACAAAGAAUUUUUCUAA